rnacentral:rRNA from 1 species
GACGAACGCUGUCGGCGUGCUUAACACAUGCAAGUCGAACGGAAAGGCCCUGCUUUUGUGGGGUGCUCGAGUGGCGAACGGGUGAGUAACACGUGAGUAACCUGCCCUUGACUUUGGGAUAACUUCAGGAAACUGGGGCUAAUACCGGAUAGGAGCUCCUGCUGCAUGGUGGGGGUUGGAAAGUUUCGGCGGUUGGGGAUGGACUCGCGGCUUAUCAGCUUGUUGGUGGGGUAGUGGCUUACCAAGGCUUUGACGGGUAGCCGGCCUGAGAGGGUGACCGGCCACAUUGGGACUGAGAUACGGCCCAGACUCCUACGGGAGGCAGCAGUGGGGAAUAUUGCACAAUGGGCGGAAGCCUGGUGCAGCAACGCCGCGUGCGGGAUGACGGCCUUCGGGUUGUAAACCGCUUUCGCCUGUGACGAAGCGUGAGUGACGGUAAUGGGUAAAGAAGCACCGGCUAACUACGUGCCAGCAGCCGCGGUGAUACGUAGGGUGCGAGCGUUGUCCGGAUUUAUUGGGCGUAAAGGGCUCGUAGGUGGUUGAUCGCGUCGGAAGUGUAAUCUUGGGGCUUAACCCUGAGCGUGCUUUCGAUACGGGUUGACUUGAGGAAGGUAGGGGAGAAUGGAAUUCCUGGUGGAGCGGUGGAAUGCGCAGAUAUCAGGAGGAACACCAGUGGCGAAGGCGGUUCUCUGGGCCUUUCCUGACGCUGAGGAGCGAAAGCGUGGGGAGCGAACAGGCUUAGAUACCCUGGUAGUCCACGCUGUAAACGGUGGGUACUAGGUGUGGGGUCCAUUCCACGGGUUCCGUGCCGUAGCAAACGCUUUAAGUACCCCGCCUGGGGAGUACGGCCGCAAGGCUAAAACUCAAAGGAAUUGACGGGGCCCCGCACAAGCGGCGGAGCAUGCGGAUUAAUUCGAUGCAACGCGUAGAACCUUACCUGGGUUUGACAUGGAUCGGGAGUGCUCAGAGAUGGGUGUGCCUCUUUUGGGGUCGGUUCACAGGUGGUGCAUGGCUGUCGUCAGCUCGUGUCGUGAGAUGUUGGGUUAAGUCCCGCAACGAGCGCAACCCUUGUUCACUGUUGCCAGCACGUUAUGGUGGGGACUCAGUGGAGACCGCCGGGGUCAACUCGGAGGAAGGUGGGGAUGACGUCAAGUCAUCAUGCCCCUUAUGUCCAGGGCUUCACGCAUGCUACAAUGGCUGGUACAGAGAGUGGCGAGCCUGUGAGGGUGAGCGAAUCUCGGAAAGCCGGUCUCAGUUCGGAUUGGGGUCUGCAACUCGACCUCAUGAAGUCGGAGUCGCUAGUAAUCGCAGAUCAGCAACGCUGCGGUGAAUACGUUCCCGGGGCU